UGGAAAUAAACUUUUAUCUUCCAACAAAGUUAAUUAGAAAUCCAAAUUAUUAAAAGAUAAAUGAACAUAUUAUUAUUCUACUAUUGGUCAAAUAAUAUUAAUGUAAUUUUAAUAGUCUAUUAUUAGUUGACCGGUGGAGGGGGUGGCUAAAAGAGACAAAACCCAUUUGUUCUCCUGGUCUGCCUCUCCUAUUGUCCUUGGUGACCUGUGAAUUUCUUCCACAGAAUCCCCUGGUACUGAGAAGCACAAUUUGAAAACCCAAAACAUAAACUCUCAUGUUAAGAAUGUCUGGUAGAUCCUCUCUUCUUUCCAGUCACAGUGAACCACUCACAACCUCUGUGAAAGCAUAAAGCUAUCUUGGUCCCAGGGCCGAUGUGGUGGGAUUUGAGUUGCAUGUGAAAUUUGUUAUCCCUUUAGCCUGCAACAGUGCCUGAAUACUGACAAUUGGAUAAUAUUCCUUAGAUCUAGGGCAUUUUCUUGCCCAGGAGCCCCUCUAAAAGGGUAAAACCUCUGUAGAGAAAUAAUUCGUCAGUCUAUUAAUACCUUAGCUUUAAAUAGGUUUUCAUGGAUGGCCUACAGAUGGCACAGGUAGGUGGGGUAGGAACUGUGAGACCUAAAUAUCCGUGGGACAUGGUGAAAAGUGGUCAGGAGAAUCUCAAAAAAAAAAUGAGCUGGACAAAAGGGAGAUUAAAGUGGAAACAUGAAGUUAAUUCAAAACAGAGGCAAGCUUUUUCUAACAAACACCUUUUCACGAAGCAAGCUCCAGCUAGUACCAUAUAGAGAUCAUUUUCUCUGAAUACAGAGCUCUUAGGAGGUGCACGUUCAUUUGCCUUCUGUGGGGAAAACCAAGUAGGUGGGCUUGCUUUGGAUUCCAUUCUUAUUGUGGGAUUUGUAAAAAUUCUGAUUGAUCCAGAGCUCAAAGCCUUCUUUUCAAACCAUAUCUUUUUGGAAUAAAUUGCCCAAGGGAGAAAAUUAUUUAUCUCAUUUUGUGUAGAUACCAGAAAGGGGGAAAUAGAUCAAAUGGGCAUAGAUAGGGUUAUCUGGUAGUUGUCUUACAUUUAAAGUCAAUCAUAUGGUAAAUGAUCAACUGUGCCUCAUCAAGAGCAAAAAUAAUACAGAACUCAUUGACUUACUAUAGGAUGACUUAUUCUUUGGAGGUAGCAUAUACUAUCAAGUAAAAGGUGGUUGCUGAAAAGUUACAAAUUCAUAGGAUAUGAGAGGAAUUUAGUGUUUCUCAUAAAAUUCUUCAUGACUUCACUGGAAACUCCAGUGUAUUUGCUUAACUCAAUUCAGCAAAUAUUUAGUGCCUAUUUUGUACCAGGCACUGUGCUAGGUCCUGGAAAGGCAAAGAUGAAUAGGACAUUCUCUCUGCCCUCAACAUGCUCAAAAUGGAAGUGAGGAAGACAGAAAUAUAAAUGACUAGCUAGAUUACAGUGUAAUAGUGGCUACAUUACAGGUAUAAAAAGAGUGGUAUGGGAAUCAGCAUAGGAAGGAAUGAUCUAGUCUUUGGCCAUCAGAGACAGAGAAAAUGGCAGGUCAGGAGAGCCACCCUAUACGGGAGCCUCUGUAGCUCAAAAGGCCUUGAAAAGCCAUCAAUGACUUAAAGAUGCAGAAAGGCAUUAUUAGAUUGGCUAUCUUGAAAAAGCAUUCAGGCAGGAGAGAAAAGGAGUCAAAUUAGUUAAGAGGUUCCUGCAAUCAAUCGGUCAACAUCUAUUAAAAUAGACUAAAUGAAAUGUGGAAUUAGGAGACAGAGAAGAGAUUUCUUCCAGGUGACCUCAGGAGAGAGAUAAAAUGAAAGCUCUCCAGUACUCAAACAAGAGAUACAUAAAAGACAAUCACUUGUUUACCUGUGUGAGAAAACUAAAAUUUUCUAAUUCCUACAAUGCAUUGCAGCAGUUGAGGUGCUGACCCUUGUUCCCUUCUAAAUAAGAAGGAAACCAAGAACUCCCAUUUCAGGAUGAGUCAAGCAGCCAAUAGCAAUAACACAUGAGACCUGUCAUAGGGAGACUUACAUCUUCAAAUGAAACAGAACUGCAAUAUCCUCCUUCAUAGAAAUCCUUAUAUGAGAUAGCUACCCUCCUGGCAUGCCUGGCAUGGCUAUGAGAAACUUCCAUUUGCAUUAGAGUUAAAUGUCUUGACAUCAUGAUAAAUUGCUGAGGAUUACUUUGUCACACAUAUACUACGCAAAGCACUGUGAAAAUGGGUGGAAAAUAACAUAUUAAUACUCCAUGAUCAGUGCUGGACAGCAUGUAGUGGGUAAAGAUGUUAAUGGGAUUGCAGAUGUCACCCCAUCAGUUAAGAACCUGCUACUGAAUGCCAGCACAUGGAAGUCUACCUGGCAUAGAGUAGGUACUGAAAGAAUAUCUGAUGGGUGAAUGAAUAAAAAAGAAGUACAGAUAUCAAGAAAACGUAAUUGACUUUUGUGAUACUUGUUUCUGAAAUGGUAAGAAAAUGCUAAUGAAUUCCCGCAUAGGGUUGGACUCAAAAAGCAUAAUAAGUAUUUUGUCAGAUUUUCUGGUUAUUUUUUUCAUUUCCAUCGUCUGCAGUUCAGAGUUCCAUCAGAAGUGGGAAUACAUUUCAAUUCUUAGACAAAUAUGUGAAUUAUUUCCUCUUCUUGUACCUUAGUGGGGAAAAAGAUUUUUUAUGAAUAAGCAAAAUAUGAAAUUUGAUUCAUAUACUCAGAAUAAAAUAAGGUGAGAAAAAUGCCUGGGGAAUUAUGUCAAAUUAUGGUAUGUGUGAGUGGUCAUUAAUAUCCUUACUGUUAAGUAGUGGGGCAUAAUCCCCUUCACAAAAAGAGAGCUGAAUCUCAAAAGUCUCCAGAAAUAAAAUUAAAAUGUGACCCAAUGUGUCAAAACUUGGUGAACAUUUUUAUGACCCAUCAAUUGUAUCAUUGCAAGUCGUUAGAGAGAAGAUUUUGAUGAACACCAAUUUCUACAUCAAGAAAAAUAAAUGAGUCUCCAUUUCUUUCCUUCCCUUUGUCCUCACCUUCAAGUUGUUAAGGUCUUUGAGAAGAAUAAAAGAUGACACUUCCGUAGCUCACAAAUCAGACUUAACUGUUCCCAUGUCAGUUUGAGUUUAGAAAAGAUUACUUUCAUCUAACAGCCCUCUCAAAUACAGUACUACGGUGGGGUACUAUGUCACCUCCAGAAAUGAUUUAUACUGCAUCUAUCUAAAUUUUAAAAUAUUAUAGAACUCUGCCUUCUAUCUAUCUCCAUGGUUUUAAAACAGCUCCCGACAGUGCCUUAACAACACAAAGAACAAGGAAAGGCAUUCUUCCUAUUCCUUAACUACUUAGAAUCCUAAAUUAAGUUCAUCUUUCAAAAGAGGUUCAGAAUAGAGGUCAAAAUGAACACACACACAGACGCAACUCUUCUCCUUGUUUUCAGUCACCGUAAAAGAAACAAUCCAAACUUAAGGUUUAAUCACUUUCAUUCAAAAGUGUAAAUGGAAUGUAAGGGGCCCUCGUGAGGAAUGCAUACAUGAGUAAUAUCUUUUCUCAGUGAGCUCCCAAUCUAGCCGGGACUACAAGAGAUUACACAAAUAUUUAAAAUGUACCGAAUAAUAAGAUGAUUGCUUUAGAAAUGUGUCAAAAAUGCCAACAAUGCUAAGAUAAAGAAAGGAUAACUUCAAAACUAACCAGAACUGGAAAUGUAAGGGGUGACCUUGAGUGCCAGGGCCAAGAAUUUAGAACUUAUAGGAUAAUGAGUGAGAAUGUUUCAAAGUGAGGAAAUACAUUUCAGCUACAGUUUAAUUUGGAAGCAAUGUGAGGCUGGGAUAAGGAGAGAGAGAGAGACCCCAUUCAAGUGGACAUUAACAAGAUAUCUAUUAUAAUAAUGGCCCAGUAAUGAGAUUUGAAACCAAGGCCCCUGCAGAGGGAGUGAAAAGAACAUUUCAAAUUCAAGAGAUAUAAAGAGACAUAAUCUCCAGGGUUUUAUAAGUGCUGGGAUGUGAAGACUAAAUGGUUAGAGAAAAACAUGAAUUAGUUGUGAAGUCUGUGUGACUAGGAAAAUGGUGUGGUAUUAAUACAAAUUGGGAAACCAAAAAAAAAGGGGGGGGGGUACAUGUGGAAAAGGAAGAGAUAAUUUGUUCAGAUCUAAAAUAUGUUGAAUUUCAGGCCCUAUUGGAGCAAUCAGGUAGGAAUUCCCUCUUUGGCUCAAUGCCAUGACCUUCAAUAGAUCCAUUCAAUUUUGUGAUCUCAUCCAUGUGUAAGAAGAAAGUAGAGUUUAUCACAGGCUGGGUAUUGCCAAGGUCCACCUGCAAUGAGGUCAAGGAGAGUGAGUAUUUCAAAUUACUAGCAAAAGUGGUAUUCAGAUGGCUGCUCUUGGAGUCUAAGUUGGACAGCUUAAAAGAACAGCCCUGGGAUUUAUUACCCUAUAUCAAAUCUCCUUACUUCUCCUGAUUUCUGUAUUUUUUCUUAAUUUGUUACCUAGAAUCACUCCAUCUUUUUCUUCAAGCCUAUCAGGUCUAUCCUAGUUUUUCACCUUGCCACCAGCCCUUGUAGAUUAGUAUGCUCAUAGAUCGGUAAAAUUGAAUCAGGGUUUCCAAAAUAUUGUGUCUAAAGUGGACUUCAGAAAACAUCAUUUGUGUCAGACUAAGGAAGGAAGUAAAAAAAUGGCACAUUAGCAAAGCAAGAUUUUCCCUCAACCAUAUCACCAUCACAGAAAGAGAAGAAAGAGUGGGGGAACAGGAGGAGGAAGAAUAGGAGGAGGAAAAGAACAAGAACAAGAAGGGAAGGAAGGAAGAAAGGAAGAAAGGAAGGAAGAGAGGAAGGGUUUUAGAAUGAUUUUUAUUGAAGCACACUAGAAUCACAUAAAUAUGAUUGUUUUCAAUAAUUCAAGUCAACAUGGAGGCAAGAAAUCCAGAUAUAACAGUCCUCAAUACCGUUAAUCCGAUAAAGCAAAUCUUCACUCAUUAAUUCUGUUUCACCCAUAUAGACCCUACUUAGAACUAUUAGAAGUAGAAAAUAGAGAUCUUGAAUUUAAAAAUUUUAGUAUUAAUUUGAGCUUUUUGUGAGAACUAGAACAACUUAAUUCCCUUUUGAGCCUUAAUUAUCUUGCAUAUAAAAUAAUUAUAAUAACAGUCACCUUAUAAUGUUACUUUAAAUUAAAAUACAUGUUUGUGUGCUUAUGUGUUCCCCACCAUAGAAUUCAACAUAGUGUCAAUAACUUCUAGUUCACUUCCUUACAAAAUUACUGUUAGAAUUAAAUAAAAUAAUGUGUUUGGAGGCACCUGGAAAACUGUAGAUGAGCUCAACAAACUUACAAAGUAAUAAAAUGAUACUUGAAAAAAUAGCUUUAGCUAUGUACAUAUCCUCAUGAUUCAUUUUAUGUCGACAUUGAGAAUGAACUUGUUUUACUCAAUAAUACCUUGAAGACUUAUUGAAGUUCUAAAUAUUCUACAUGCAAAAACAAAAUUGUACUGCGUUCCCUAGAGUAUUUUCAAUCAUGAUAAAACACCGUCUAACUGCAAUGCAUACUUUUUCGAUGCAAGCCAUAUUUGACUUUGAAACUAUGCUGACACAGAGAGAAAAUACAGUGUUGAUUAGCUUUCUAAGCCCCGCUAGAUUUUCAAGAUAAUCACAGUCUACUCCACACUUUAGUUGUAUAAAUGUGGCCUUAAUCUGUGUUGACGUGACCUCCAAAACUUAAAUUAAAAUGGUUUCAAACCCAGGGACCUCUGCCCUCUGGUGGUAGUUAAUUGCAAAUGGUCUUCAUGUUCAUAUACACACAGAGUGUUACUUUCACAUUAACUAAAUAAUAUGUCUCAUGAAUAUUUGUGCUGUUUCAAAUAGUCCUUGUUAUUGGGAUUCAUACAAUAAAAUACCAUUGCAAAGCAUUUGUGUCAGAAAAAAAUUCUUGCUUUCAAGUGACAGAAGCCCAGUUCAAACUAAAAACGAAAUUUGGGGAUGCACAUGCCUGGAAAGAAUAUGGAUAAAUCUGAGUAUGCAUGAAUAGAUCUAGUGGCACAAACCAUGAAUAUAGGACUCCAUCUCUUUAAAUAGCUCAGCUUCAUUUCCUGCCUUUGAGCUUUAUUCUCAUGCAUACUUUAACACUGUGUAGGUGGUUGCCAGCAUGUACAGGUUUAUAUAGGCAAAUCCCAACAGAUAAAAGGGACUGCCUCACUCUCAACAGUCCCAGCAAAGGUUCUGAAACUGUCUCAAAUUAGGUAGCCUAUGUCCAUCAGGGAGGUAAUUACUGUGAUCCAGGAUAUGGAAUACUUUGAUAGGCCAGGCCUAAGAUACAUACCCACCACUGCAGCCAAGGGUAGAGUCUAAAUCACCCAACGUGAAUGGACCAAGAGUAAAAAAGGGAGGGAUGUUUUACAAUAGGAAAAUUGGGGUACUGGUACCUCAAUAAGGGGAAGGGAUGCUGACCAGCAAAAAUAUGAUGGCCAUUAUAGCUUCGUAGAAUACAUAAUGGUCACUUACAAUAACACAUUUUCUCAAUAUGUGUGGCUCUUAAAGUGUUUUGAUCUUUAAAAGGAAAUUCUCACAUUUGAAAAGCUUGAGAAUCACCAAAUCAAUUCUUUUUUCUAUAGGAGUAUAUGGACUGAUAUAGAUCAAAUACAUGGAUGAGUAACUGAAGUUUCUAUCUCUCAAUUUAGUUGAUCAGUGUGGUGAGUAUGAUGCCUGAGAUGUCUGCUUUGAAACUUCUUUUGCCUGUAAGUCACUAGCUCAGUGAGUUUUCUCGGUCCAUUAGGUAACUUCACAAAGCAUUGCCUUCUCUAGGGAGCAGAAAACAGCAUGAAAAGAAAAUCUCACAAAGCACAUUUUCAGCAAGAAUCUUUGAAUUGAAGUGUUUAUUUCAGAAUCAACUGAAGUAUCCAGGUUAGGUGCUUACAGAAUGUGUUUAUGAAUUUCCUUAAUGCUAAUUUGGAAUUAGUUAUGCAUUCUACAUAUAAAGGCCUUUACACUCACUUCCAUGAGAUAAGUUAACACAAAGUAAUUUUAUGAGGUUAAUUACAAUGGUGAACUCCAAAUGAGCACAACUGUUAGAAUCGUUACGUACUCCUGAGUGGCAAGUGCUCCCCUUCCCCUCCUAUACUUUUCUAGCUACUUGGAAGUUCAUUCUUCCAUGGAAGGAAAAUCUGUAGGUCAUAAGAGAUCAUUCACAAUUACUUUAUGCAUAAGUUUUUUAUAUAUAAAAGUAAGUACUUGCAUGAGAAAUCCUAUUUUCAUCACUCAUUCUUUCAGCCAUGUUGAGCCUUGUGGUUUAAAUCUCAUAUAAUGCUACAUAAAUGACAGAUUCCUGUCUAUUCACAAAAUCAUACUAUCCUUCAAUUUCACCAUAAUGCUUAGACCUCCAAAUCUUCUUCCUUCACAAAUUGCAACUAAGUAGUUUAAUCUUAAUAAUUUAGUUUUUCAUUAAAGAAGAUUCUGAUUUUUCUUUUUUUUUUUUUUUUUU
rnacentral:lncRNA from 10 species